rnacentral:rRNA from 1 species
UACGUAGGGCGCAAGCGUUGUCCGGAAUUAUUGGGCGUAAAGAGCUCGUAGGCGGUUUGUCGCGUCUGCUGUGAAAUCCCGAGGCUCAACCUCGGGCUUGCAGUGGGUACGGGCAGACUAGAGUGCGGUAGGGGAGACUGGAAUUCCUGGUGUAGCGGUGGAAUGCGCAGAUAUCAGGAGGAACACCGAUGGCGAAGGCAGGUCUCUGGGCCGCAACUGACGCUGAGGAGCGAAAGCAUGGGGAGCAAACAGG